rnacentral:rRNA from 1 species
AGUGAACGCUGGCGGUAGGCCUAACACAUGCAAGUCGAACGGCAGCACAGUAAGAGCUUGCUCUUACGGGUGGCGAGUGGCGGACGGGUGAGGAAUACAUCGGAAUCUACUUUUUCGUGGGGGAUAACGUAGGGAAACUUACGCUAAUACCGCAUACGACCUACGGGUGAAAGCAGGGGAUCUUCGGACCUUGCGCGACUGAAUGAGCCGAUGUCGGAUUAGCUAGUUGGCGGGGUAAAGGCCCACCAAGGCGACGAUCCGUAGCUGGUCUGAGAGGAUGAUCAGCCACACUGGAACUCAGACACGGUCCAGACUCCUACGGGAGGCAGCAGUGGGGAAUAUUGGACAAUGGGCGCAAGCCUGAUCCAGCCAUACCGCGUGGGUGAAGAAGGCCUUCGGGUUGUAAAGCCCUUUUGUUGGGAAAGAAAAGCAGCAGGUUAAUACCCCGCUGUUCUGACGGUACCCAAAGAAUAAGCACCGGCUAACUUCGUG